CACGCAUGACACACUGCAUAUCAAUAAGCGGAGGAAAAGAAACUAACAAGGAUUCCCUUAGUAACGGCGAGUGAAGCGGGAAGAGCUCAAAUCUGAAAUCUUCAAGGUUCUACCUUGACGAAUUGUAGUUUAUAGAAGUGUUUUCUGUUAGUGGAGUGGCAAAAGUUCUCUGGAAUAGGACAUCAUAGAGGGUGAGAAUCCCGUAUUUGGUCAUUCCUUCUAGCUUUGUGAUACACUUUCAAAGAGUCGGAUUGUUUGGGAAUGCAGUCCAAAAUGGGUGGUAAAUUUCAUCUAAAGCUAAAUAUUGGCGAGAGACCGAUAGCGAACAAGUACCGUGAGGGAAAGAUGAAAAGAACUUUGAAAAGAGAGUUAAACAGUAUGUGAAAUUGUCAAAAGGGAAGCGUUUGACACCAGUGUUGUUUUUCCGAAAAUCAAUUAUAAAUGUUUUGUUUCUGAGGAGUGAUGACUUCAUCGGCUUCCUUCUCUCUUCACGAAACUUUUGUAAUGCACUUUUCGGUUAACAAGUCAACAUCAAUUUCUUUUGUUGUAAAAGAGUAUUCGGAAGGUGGCUUUCUUUUCGGAGAAAGUGUUUAUAGCCCUAUACUUCUACAAUCGGAGAGAUUGAGGUCUGCAGCGUAGAUCCUUCGGGGUUAGAUACAUUUGUGCUAAGUUAUAGCUUUUCAUAGACAACUUGUUGACUAUGUUUAGUCUUGUAGCUUACUCGCUUAUGCUAUUUUACCUACGCUUAGGAUGUUGACGAGACUGUCGAUCUC
rnacentral:rRNA from 1 species